GGAAACACGAAACAACAUCAAUCAGGAUCAGGAAUUCGAACCUUCGAUCGUAGAUAUUGUAGCGAGCAUUGCUGUAAUCCGAGAAGCAAGUACGGAGACUAGAUUUGAGAGCAAGUUCCCAAACCGGAUUCGGCUCUUUACCACCGACUCCAACAAUCCAUCCCGCUCCAAGUUCCACCGAUACGCCUCCAAAAUUCUCCUUACAGACUCUUCCUCCGAUACGGUCGGAAGCCUC
rnacentral:misc_RNA from 1 species